rnacentral:rRNA from 1 species
CGCGCCCUACGGGACGCAGCAGUAGGGAAUUUUCGUCAAUGGGCGCAAGCCUGAACGAGCAAUGCCGCGUGAACGAGGAGGGUCUUCGGAUCGUAAAGUUCUGUUGAAGGGGAAAAAGAGCGGAGAGAGGAAAUGAACUCCGAUUGAUAUUACCCUUCGAGGAAGUCACGGCUAACUACGUGCCAGCAGCCGCGGUAAUACGUAGGUGGCGAGCGUUAUCCGGAAUGAUUGGGCGUAAAGGGUGCGUAGGCGGCCUGCUAAGUCUGGAGUGAAAGGUACCGGCUCAACCGGUACAGGCUCUGGAA